rnacentral:rRNA from 1 species
UACGAAGGGGCUAGCGUUGCUCGGAAUCACUGGCGUAAGCGCACGUAGGCGGAUUGUUAAGUCAGGGGUGAAAUCCUGGAGCUCAACUCCAGAACUGCCUUUGAUACUGGCGAUCUUGAGUCCGGGAGAGGUGAGUGGAACUGCGAGUGUAGAGGUGAAAUUCGUAGAUAUUCGCAAGAACACCCGUGGCGAAGGCGGCUACUCGUCGGGAGCGGUACUGACGCGUGACGACG